rnacentral:rRNA from 1 species
CGAAACAAAGUAGAAUAACCGGAAGGUUAUUCUACU